AAAGAUAUUCUACACUGUUCAAUUUUAUCUUUCUUCGUCGCUUCAGAUAGAUAGACCUCUGAUUAUAUUACUGUGAUAACUAGUGACUUUAAAAAUGACUAACCCCUAGAACUUGUUUUAGUGUUGACGUUGAUCACCGCACUACUGGGAUGUGCAUUGGCGGUGGCAGAGAGCUGCAUAUGUUCUAAGAUAUAUGCCCCCGUAUGCUCAACAUCUGGGAACACUUUUUCGAACAAUUGCACGAGGAAGUGCGCAAAUGAGGACUUUGCUUACAACGGAGAAUGUUGCCCCUAGUACGUAGUAUUAAUGAGAUAAACAGCUCUCAAUACUGCUGGGAUACGUACUUAUUCAUAUAACACUAAAAUAAUAUGCAAUAAACUACCUACUGAAACUAA